rnacentral:rRNA from 1 species
UACAGAGGGUGCGAGCGUUGUUCGGAAUUAUUGGGCGUAAAGGGCGCGUAGGCGGUGCGGUAAGUCACCUGUGAAAUCUCCUGGCUCAACUGGGAGCUUGCGGGCGAAACUGCCGUGCUGGAGUGUGGGAGAGGUGCGUGGAAUUCCUGGUGUAGCGGUGAAAUGCGUAGAUAUCAGGAGGAACACCUGUGGCGAAAGCGGCGCACUGGACCACAACUGACGCUGAGGCGCGAAAGCUAGGGGAGCAAACAGG